CCCAUUGAUUGACGGUGCUUGCAUCUGAUUGAUUUUGGUUGCCAACGAGUGGCGGACGGGUGAGUAACACGUAGGUAACCUGCCCAGAAGUGGGGGACAACAUUUGGAAACAGAUGCUAAUACCGCAUAACAGCGUUGUUCGCAUGAACAACGCUUAAAAGAUGGCUUCUCGCUAUCACUUCUGGAUGGACCUGCGGUGCAUUAGCUUGUUGGUGGGGUAACGGCCUACCAAGGCGAUGAUGCAUAGCCGAGUUGAGAGACUGAUCGGCCACAAUGGGACUGAGACACGGCCCAUACUCCUACGGGAGGCAGCAGUAGGGAAUCUUCCACAAUGGGCGCAAGCCUGAUGGAGCAACACCGCGUGAGUGAAGAAGGGUUUCGGCUCGUAAAGCUCUGUUGUUAAAGAAGAACACGUAUGAGAGUAACUGUUCAUACGUUGACGGUAUUUAACCAGAAAGUCACGGCUAACUACGUGCCAGCAGCCGCGGUAAUACGUAGGUGGCAAGCGUUAUCCGGAUUUAUUGGGCGUAAAGAGAGUGCAGGCGGUUUUCUAAGUCUGAUGUGAAAGCCUUCGGCUUAACCGGAGAAGUGCAUCGGAAACUGGAUAACUUGAGUGCAGAAGAGGGUAGUGGAACUCCAUGUGUAGCGGUGGAAUGCGUAGAUAUAUGGAAGAACACCAGUGGCGAAGGCGGCUACCUGGUCUGCAACUGACGCUGAGACUCGAAAGCAUGGGUAGCGAACAGGAUUAGAUACCCUGGUAGUCCAUGCC
rnacentral:rRNA from 1 species